rnacentral:tRNA from 2 species
GGAGGGAUGGUCGAGUGGUUAAAGGCAUCAGACUGUAAAUCUGACGACGCGAGUCUACGUAGGUUCGAAUCCUACUCCCUCCACCA